CCUUUUAUUUUAUUUAAAGAAUCAUCCAAGUGAAAAAAGACAGACAAACACACUGACAGAACAGCCAGAACAACUGAUAGAAAUGACAGGACAGACAGAGGAGCAACGAACAGGACAGAGGGAGCAACAGGCAGAAAUGAUAGACGAACAUGCAGAAGAGCAACAUGAAGGACAGAUAGAAGCACAUGUAGAAGAGCAACAGACAGGACAAAUGGAACGAGCAACAUGUCAGAUGGAAGAAGACACAGAGGGACAGAUAGGAGACACAGAGGGACAGAUAGAAGAGACCCCCCCAAUCCAACAGCAGGGCCAGAAGAGUCGUGCUCUGGCUGGAGCAGCAACAUAUAGAUCCAUUUUCAAACAGGAGUGGACCUCUUCAUGGCCAUUUAUUACCAGAGGGAGCCGCAACACGCACUACUGGUGUGCAGUCUGCCGUAUUGAAAAUUCAUGUUGCCACCAGGGUGUUGCAGAUGUAGUGCGCCACAUAAAAACCAAAGGCCACCAAGAAAAGCAAAAGGCACUACAGUCCACAGCCACAAUAUUUCAAUAUGCAAUGCCUGUUUCCUCUGUUGGGGGAUGUCUGCACAAGAGGUUAAGACAAGAAGGGCUGAGGUCAAAUUGACAGCUGGGUUGGUAGUUCACAACAUCCCCCUAGCCUUUGCAGACCACCUGGGGCCUCUCCUAAAAUAAUGUUUUGGAGACUCGAAGACAGCGCAGGAGUACAGGAGUGGAAAAGAUGAACCCGCUUACUGUCCGGGUCUUUAUGGGCAGCAAAGUUGUUCACCAGUUUUUAAGUAUGUGCACAACAAGUGGGACAAGAAGUGGGACAGCAAGUGAGAUCUUCACCAAAAUUAACGGCACCUUAGAGGAACAUGGCAUCCCUUGGGAGAACUGCAUUGGUCUCUCAGUCGACAAUGCAGCUGUGAAUAUUGGACCACAUAAUUCCAUUGCCUCUAGGGUCCUCCAGAAGCAUCCCAACACCUAUAUUCAUGGUUGUCCUUGUCACGAGGCACAUACCACUGCCAAAGCUGCAGGAGUGGGAUUUUUUAAAGUGUCCGGUUUUGAUUUGGAGGAUAUGCUAGUGGACAUCGGUUACUGGUUCAAGGAGUUUUGUGAGCUCCAUGAAGCGGAGUACAUGGAGGUCCUCCUACAUAUCUCGGUUCGUUGGCUAAGCCUUGAACGUUGUGUGACCAGGAUCCUGAGGCUGUAUGGACCUCUGGCCAGCUACUACAAAUCUGCUAAUGAAAAUCAGGCCAGGUUCAAGAGGCUUGCAAAGACAUUCACUGACCCCAUGACAGAAGUGUACCUGCUGUUCUUCCAAGCCACCAUACCAACUUUCACUUCUUUCAACUUGCUUCUUCAGAGAGAGCAGUCUUCAAUAUUUUUGUUACAGGUACAUGAUGAGAUGGUGAAAUUCGUACGCAAGCUAUGUUCCAAGUUUAUGGUUCCAGCAGCUCUGCAGGGUCAUGAGGACCCUUGUGAAAUUGCCUUUAAAGAGAAGGCAAACCAUUUACCAGGAAGAAAGUUGAACAUUGGGUUCACAACCAGGGCUAAACUUAACAGAUUACUCGACGAGGGUGACAUCACACCACAGCAGGUGGAUUCAUUCCAUGAAGCUGUGUUGUGUUUCCUGACAAGUGCUGUGGAUUAUGCACUUAAGAAGCUGACACUGAAAGAGCCACUGAUCAAACAUGCCAAAUUCAUAGAUGUACGGCAGAGGGCUGCAAGUGACAUCGAAGAUGUACUGUACUUUGUUGAAAGGUUUCCCCAUCUCCUCCCAUACCAUGGACCAGAGGAGCAUGACCUUCUGGGUGAGGAGUUUCUAAAUUAUCAGACCAUGUCAAUAAUAUCCUUGCAAGACGAAACUGAAAUGGAAAGCUUCUGGGCUGAAAUGGCAAACCGGAAACAUAAGGUGACUGGAGCCAAAGAAUUUGAGAGGCUUGCUGCCAUGGCCAAGCUGGUCCUGGUGUUGCCCCAUGCAAACGCAGACGCUGAGAGGGUGUUUUCAGUUGUGGGACUGAACAAAACCAAAAGAAGAAACAGCCUAGCAUUGGAUGGCACCUUGUCAUCAAUAAUGACCAUAAAGAUGGCCAAUUUGGAGCCCUGCUUCAAAUGGGAGCCCCCCUCAGAUAUCAUCAAGGCCUCCAAGAAGGCCACAGGCCAGUAUAACCAUGCCCACAGAUCAUAGACAAGGACUUUACCAGCUUCUGAUCUGUAUUUGGAAAUAAAGGUGUUAAUC
ensembl:lncRNA